AUUGAACGCUGGCGGCAUGCUUUACACAUGCAAGUCGAACGGUAACAGGCCGCAAGGUGCUGACGAGUGGCGAACGGGUGAGUAAUGCAUCGGAACGUGCCCAGUCGUGGGGGAUAACGCAGCGAAAGCUGCGCUAAUACCGCAUACGAUCUAUGGAUGAAAGCGGGGGACCGUAAGGCCUCGUGCGAUUGGAGCGGCCGAUGUCAGAUUAGGUAGUUGGUGGGGUAAAGGCUCACCAAGCCAACGAUCUGUAGCUGGUCUGAGAGGACGACCAGCCACACUGGGACUUAGACACGGCCCAGACUCCUACGGGAGGCAGCAGUGGGGAAUUUUGGACAAUGGGCGCAAGCCUGAUCCAGCAAUGCCGCGUGCAGGAAGAAGGCCUUCGGGUUGUAAACUGCUUUUGUACGGAACGAAACGGUCCUGGUUAAUACCCGGGGCUAAUGACGGUACCGUAAGAAUAAGCACCGGCUAACUACGUGCCAGCAGCCGCCGUAAAAC
rnacentral:rRNA from 1 species